UAUGUUUCUUUGCAGGUGCAUACGUGCUCCAAGUAAAGGCAACAGAUGCUGAUGAUCCUACCUAUGGAAAUAGCGCCAGGGUGGUCUACAGCAUUCUUCAGGGACAACCCUAUUUCUCCAUUGAUCCGAAGACAGGUGUGAUAAGAACAGCUUUGCCAAAUAUGGACAGAGAAGUGAAAGAACAAUAUCAAGUUCUUAUCCAAGCCAAGGACAUGGGAGGACAACUGGGAGGACUAGCUGGAACUACAACUGUAAACAUAACUCUCACGGAUGUCAAUGACAACCCACCCAGAUUUCCUAAGAGUAUGUUGUAUUCCAAAUAUAUUAAUUUUCAAAUGACUGAAAGUGAAAAAUCUUUUAUAUUAGGACUUGAGUUCCAAAAGAAGAACAGUUUAUGACAAAAACAAACAAACAAACAGAAAAAACAAACCAGAAUAUGCUGGGGCUUUUUUACAGUAAUAUGAAGUUAAAUUUGAAAGUGUGAGUUUUGAAUGUUUAAAAGAAAAUAUCAUUCCACAGGAUUGUCCUCAGUCUGAUAGUUCGUUUCAUGUACACUUUAAAAUAGAUUUGGAAGACGGGAUGGUCAUCUUCAAAUGGCAGAAGGUUGUAACUUGAGACUUCAGGUAUAGAAAACCAGAGCAGAUUGAGCUCAUGCUAGGUAUUGCUAUUAUGAUAAACAAAUUUUUCACAUCUUGACCCAGAAGAUUGUAUCUUUCCUUGAAAAUACUUAAUCCUUCAAAAUGGAAUCUUCUCUAGAAAUUUAUAACAUUUCUUAUGAAUUACUUUAAAUUUCUUUUCAGAAAUAUAGUAAUUUAGAGUUUCAGAGAUUGUAUAUAAUCAGCAUUGGCAUUGACAAAGGAUUGUCACUUACUGCUCUUCUUCAGUUCACUGCAGGUUUGUAUGUUCCCUAUCUUUGAAAUGCACCUACUAAUCAAGCACAGACUUUGAUAACAACUAUACCUAAACAUUUAGCUGCAAAAAGUUGUUACUAAGGCAAUAAUGUUAGAAUAUUAGUGUGAAUUUAGAGUAAGAUCAAGUCACUAUUUUACUUGAUGUAUUACAAGUUCUUCUUAUGUAACAAACUAUAUUUGAAAAUUCACAGAUCUCUUUCUUUUAAAAAAUAUUCACUUUCCCUGCCUCAUUAUGAAAAUACACUGCAUUUUUGCAGAAAUGUAAGAAUGAACAUGCUAAGACCAAGAUCCAUCUGACCCUGUCUUCAGUCUCUUAUAAUGACAUCUGGGGGAUAUAUAUAAGAACAGAUCAAAUAUGUAAUAAUAAUUCAGAACAUUUCCUCUGUUUCUAAUGCUUCUCAGCCAAGAUGAUAUCUUUGUAAUUAACAACCUUCAAUGUUUUUUUCUCACAGCAAAUUACCAAUUGCUUUGCUAUAUAUGUAAAAUUUCAGAGUCCACAGCAUUCUAAACUACCAGGUUCCACAGAUUAAGUAUAUAUUCCACAACAAACCACUUUCCCUCAUUUCUUUUGAGUUCAUCCCAACAUAUCGAUCUGCAUGCUCAUGACUUCAAAGAAUUUAGAAUGUGUUGCAAAACACAUCUUUUAUUUAGACUAGCUGUGCUAAGUUUUUUCAGCGGAGAUUACUGCCCAUGACUCCAUUAAUUCCAGUCCUACUGGUUUGUCCUGUGAAUAUCAGGGAUAUCUGUCUUCAGUUUCCAAGAACUCCCUGAAAAUCUUUGAGAAAAUCAGUGCUAUGUUAGCAGCUUCAUGUCUUCAUAUUCCACAGUGGUUUGAAGCAAGGUAUUGCACACCAUAAUAGUUUACUUAUUACAUUCUUGAAGCUCCUGGUCACAUAGCAACAAAUCCCCAUCAUUUAUUGUGUCUGUUUGUUCCACAACUGCUACUAUAAGUAAUUUAACCUUCUCUCAUGAGCCUUCUCUUAAGAAAUAUUCUAGGAUAAAAAUAUUUCUGAUCUUCUUUCCUUCACAUUUCUAACAUGCCCAUUAUGCAGAUACUAUUGUUUAUUAUUAAGCACUAAAACUAUCUAUUUUAGUUCCCAUUCUAAACCUGUGUGUGACUGCAGCCUUCAUCUACAUGCUUUAACAUUAGUUUUUUUGUUUUUUUCUGGAUUUAUGUUCUUCUCUAUGCGUAAAAUUUCCCAAACUCUUCGUCUAUAAUUGCAGUGGUCAUAGGGAAUUUUUAAACUUUAUGAAGCUUGUUUUUCCUGUAAGUGGAAUGAAUCUUACAACCUGUACAAGUGCAUGUUUUUUAGCAAGUCUCCACUUUCUGAUAAUAUGAAUCCCUUCUCCUCACACCUCUCUCUUCUAGGUAUUAAUGCUUGACCUUUCCAUCUUUCUCUAUCUGACUGCAUGUAAUGAGACAGUUUCACACUAUGCUUCUCUGGAUAUCCUUACCUUUUUCUUUUUGCUUCCCAGACUAAAUUUUGCCUCAAGAGCAAAAAUCCAGUCUUACUUUAUUUAGUCAUGGACUACAGCCUAUGUUGCCUCCUUGUCUAUUGUCACGUCCUGUAAGAACACUUGUGAGAUGCUCCAGCUUUGGUCCACAAGCAGAUCAUCCAGAAAGUCUCUUUGAGACAACAUUCCCACUGUCCUUGUCCUCAGCAUCCAUUAAGCUGCCCCACCACUGCAUUCUCUCUCUUUCUUUCAGCUCAAACCCCUACUGCUGGAAUAGUAUCACAGAUACAAGAAGAAAUAAUACAUCUUCCUGGAAGUGGGAAUAUUCAGUGCUUUGGAAAGAUAUUUGGGCACAAUGACCUUUACUGUGCCUGAUUUCAGUUAUAUAUUUCACUUCCUUUGCUGUCAGGGAUUUUAGUCAUUUUCUGUCUCAUUGUAUGCCUUCAUCUUCUACAGGGUUUCAAAAAACCACAUAAGUCUCACAUGCAUCAGACAGUUUUCAUGAAUCAUGGACUACAUUUUCUUUGAAGAAAGUAGCCUUGAGAUCACAUUUUAUCCAUGCACUGUAGCAAUGACAUCUUUGUCCAGACAUUGCUAUGAAAAA